UCAAGCGAACAAGGGCGCAGGGCGAAUGCCUUGGCACUGGGAGCCGAUGAAAGACGUGAUAAGCUGCGAUAAGCUUCGGGGAGCUGCAAAUAAGCAUUGAUCCGGAGAUUUCUGAAUGAGGAAACUCACCUGGGUUCAUACUCAGGUACGAUCUACUGAACUUCAAAAUAGGUAGAUCGAGGGAACCGCCUGAACUGAAACAUCUAAGUAGGGCGAGGAAGAGACAUCAAACGAGAUUCCGUAAGUAGUGGCGAGCGAACGCGGAAGAGGGCAAACCGGGAGUCGAAAGACUUCCGGGGUACGGACUGCAUUUAAGACUUGAGUUGUUAACCGAACGGCAUGGGAAGGCCGGUCAGAGAGUGUGAGAACCACGUAGGUGAAAACGACGAGAGCUGAGCAAGUUCCAGAGUACGGCCAGACACGUGAAACCUGGUCGGAAGAUGGGGGGACCACCCUCCAACCCUAAAUACUACCCAGUGACCGAUAGCGUAUAGUACUGUGAAGGAAAGGUGAAAAGCACCCCGGGAGGGGAGUGAAAAAGAACCUGAAACCCUGUGCCUACAAGCACCUAGAGCACGUCAAAGUGUGAUAGGGUACUUUUUGUAGAACGGUCCGGCGAGCGAUUGUAUGCAGCAAGGUUAAGGUCUUCAGGACUGGAGCCGAAGCGAAAGCGAGUUUGAAAAGGGCGUUAAGUUGCAUACAAUGGGCCCGAAACCGGGUGACCUACCCAUGGUCAGGUUGAAGUGGAAGUAAAAUUCCAUGGAGGACCGAACCGACCUCCGUUGAAAAGGCGGCGGAUGAACUGUGGGUAGCGGAGAAAUUCCAAUCGAACCCGGAGAUAGCUGGUUCUCCCCGAAAUAGUUUUAGGACUAGCCUCAGGUUAGAUAUCUGGAGGUAAAGCACUGAAUAGCCUAGCGGCCGAGAGGUUAGCGAAGCUUAUCAAACUCAGAAUGCCAGAAUAUUGAUGCCUGGGAGUCAGACAGUGUCAGAUAAAUGUCAUUGUCAAAAGGGAAACAGCCCAGAUCUACAGCUAAGGUCCCAAAGUCAGGUUAAGUGGAAAACGAUGUGAAGAUACGCAGACAACCAGGAUGUUGGCUCAGAAGCAGCCACUCAUUCAAAGAGUGCGUAAUAGCUCACUGGUCGAGCGUCUUUGCGCGGAGAAUUUAACGGGGCUAAACCUGGCACCGAAGCUUAGGCAAUGUAGCAAUACAUUGGGUAGGGGAGCGUUGUAUACGCGGCGAAACAGUAGCGCAAGCGGCUGUGGAGUGUAUAGAAGUGAGAAUGCCGGAAUGAGUAGCGCGAAUGCAGUGAGAAUCUGCAUGGCCGAAAGCCUCAGGUUUUUGGAGGAAGGUUCGUCCGCUCCAAGUUAGUCGGGAGCUAAGGUGAGGCCGGAAGGCGUAGCCGAUGCACAGACGGUAGAGAUUCCGUCACCACCAAAAGAGUUAAGCACAGGGACACAUAAGAAGUCUCAGAGCCGGGUGUUGGUUCCGGUAGAGAUCGAGGGAAAAUAGUACCGAAGUCUGGGAUGGAAGAUGGCGAGAAAAGCUGUGUGGAUUUCUGAGGUGCCCGUACCGCAAACCGACACAGGUAGGUAGGAAGAAGAUUCUAAGGCCAACGGGAGAAGGGUUGUUAAGGAACUCGGCAAAUUGACCCCGUAACUUCGGGAGAAGGGGUGCUCCAGAGAUGGAGCCGCAGAGAAUCGGCCCAAGCAACUGUUUACCAAAAACACAGGUUUGUGCUAAAUCGAAAGAUGACGUAUACGAGCUGACGCCUGCCCGGUGCUGGAAGGUUAAGAGGAGAUGUGCAAGCAUUGAAUCGAAGCCCCAGUGAACGGCGGCCGUAACUAUAACGGUCCUAAGGUAGCGAAAUUCCUUGUCAGGUAAG
rnacentral:rRNA from 1 species